rfam:Salmo salar isolate Sally breed double haploid chromosome ssa16, whole genome shotgun sequence.
UGCACUCACUGCUGGAAGUCACUCUGGAUAAGAGCGUCUGCUAAAUGACUAAAA